rnacentral:lncRNA from 1 species
GUCGCCCAGGUGUUCCUCGGUGGAUGAAUGGAUAAAGAAAAUGUAAACACACAGUGGAAUCUUACUCAGCCUUGAAAAGGAAGGAAAGUCCAUCCAACACAUGCUACUGCAUGGACGAACUUUGGACAGUGAGCUAAGUGAAAGGAGACAGUCACAAAAGGACAAAUACCAGAUGAUCCCACCUGCGCGAGAUGAUGUUUGUCAUAUCUCCUGCAUGGAGGAAAAUUGCUUUCUGUAAAUCUUGGUCCAACAGAACAAAACACCUAUUUCUUUCCAGUUGGGAGGACAGCCAUUCUCAUCGGUAUAAUGAACGUAUUGUAAGCUGUGACUUUUACAAAGUCUGAGGGAAACCAAUCUGCAAUCUUGACAGAUACGAUCUUUCCAGAUGCACUGUUCGUUUACGGCGGCAAGAGAGCUCAAUUAAUUUCUGAGGGAGGACGGCAGGAUGCGACCCCUUGUGCGUGGCCUAGGAGGAACUGUCCCUGUGUGAAUUUAUGUUCUGGUAAUUUAAAAAGAUUUAUAUUAAGCUUUUCUUUCAUUUUGAGAGUAGAUUAAAAUUCUAAUGGAAACCAUUUGUAUGCAUUUGUUGAAUUGAAGAGUAUUUAUGGCUGUGUAAAAAAAAUGCUGCAAAAUUCUGCCGAUAAUAAAGUCAGUGAAGCAAGAAUAAGUGUAAAAACAGGAAGGAAAUACGCGAUAGAAACCAUACUGUAUUAUACAAGUAUAAUGAGGGAGG